GGAAGCUGGAGGUGUGGGAGCAAGCGGUGACUGUUGCUCCUGGCGACGGCGGGCAUCUUCUUGCACUCGACGAGUCUGCUCCAUGGUGUCGUCGUCGUCACGGCUACGGAAAAAAAAAGAAAAUAUGUUCAUGCAACGGUUGUGCGCCCCUCCACCUCCCCAUCACCGCAUCAGUCCAUCAACCUCUCCAGCCAUCAGCCUCAGCAGAGUCACCAGCCACCACCACCAGUGUCUGGACUCCAUGGAGAGAUUUAUUCUGCUGCUGCUCAGGGCAGACAGCCUCCAUUACCAAAAUCUCCCCGCGGAGUCUAAGUGCCAAAGACUCUGUCAAGAUUAAUAUCUCACAUCAUCUGUUUCAAUAAACACUAUCUUUACUUUA